GAGCUGAAGAGUGUUAGAAGAACCAAAUGAAGUAGCAGAUAUUCAUGGAAGCACUGGAGCUGACAAGGUCACAGAACUGUGCACAUCUGUUCUUCAAGGAUCAAAGACCUCAUUGGAUUAACUUUACUGAAGCAAAAGAAAAGGGACGGUAUUGAAAAAAAUGUUAUCAGGAGAACAAACUAGAAGAAGCAAGUCUGAAAACAAAGAGCUAGAUGAACGUAAGCCACAGCAACAGAGUCCUUCAAAUAAAGUACAGUAAUACACAUUU